GGGCUCGUGGUCUAGACGGUUAUGACGUCUCCUUGACAUGGAGGAGGUCCUGAGUUCGAAUCUCAGCGGGCCCA
rnacentral:tRNA from 1 species